UACGUAGGGGGCAAGCGUUGUCCGGAUUUAUUGGGCGUAAAGAGCUCGUAGGUGGUUUGGUAAGUCGGGUGUGAAAUCUCGGAGCUUAACUCCGAAACUGCAUUCGAUACUGCCGUGCUUGAGGACUGGAGAGGAGACUGGAAUUUACGGUGUAGCGGUGAAAUGCGUAGAUAUCGUAAGGAAGACCAGUGGCGAAGGCGGGUCUCUGGACAGUUCCUGACGCUGAGGCACGAAGGCCAGGGGAGCAAACGGG
rnacentral:rRNA from 1 species